rnacentral:tRNA from 1 species
UUCUGGUUCGAGUCCAGGAUGGCCCACCUGAAGAACUGAAAAAUUAACAGAGUGGGGGUAUAGCUCAGUUGGUAGAGCGCUGCCUUUGCAAGGCAGAUGUCAGCGGUUCGAGUCCGCUUACCUCCACCAAAAAAAGAGUGUUUUGAUUCUAGACAGAAUUCCGGAGAGGAUGUGUUAAGAUGAAAGACCGGGGUUGAGGUUUAAGCCAGUCAGAGGGCUGCCGGUUCCAAGAAAAAAAUUCCCCAAAAGGGAUUGACAAUCAAAAAGCCUCCGUGCUAAAGUAAAAGACCGGGGCAGAAAAAAGGAGUGGGAGAGUUGAGAAACGACCCCAACUGAAGAUUUCAGCCCGCCGGUGAAAAGAGAAAAAAUUUCAGAAAGGGGAUUGACAAACAAAAAGCGAGAGUGAUAAGAUAAAAGACCGGAAAGAAGAAGAAAAGAAGUGAGAGAUUUCAGCAACGACCCAAGUGAUUGACUUGAGCGCCUGCUGGAUUCUAUCCAGUCAGAACCUUGAA